AACAAGUCAUAUAAGCCGAGAACCUAUCGCGGACUUUACAUCGAUACGAAUCAGGAAGAAAUCACGACAGGAAAAAACGAUAGCCGGUUAGUCACCGCACAAUCCUUAAACCGAAAGUAAACCUAGGUCUUGCCCUAAACCCAGCGCACUGGUCUCUAACAUCUCAAAGACAUGAUAUCGAAAGAUAAGAGAUUCUUAAACCAUGCCUCUAUGUUUAUGUUCGACACCUUCAGCACCCCCGCAGAGUUCACAUCUCGCUGAAGAACUCUCGAAACAGAUCUCGAAUGAAACAUUUCACAAUCGAAGAAGGAUAUGAGAUGACAACUCAUCACCUUCCUCCCCACUAUUCACGAACUCAUAAAAAAGCGUUAUCCGAUUAUCGUACUAUUGAAAGAAAGCCGCGGAGCGGCAGGGAUUCAAACCCACACACGGCCAGUCCCGAAAUACAAACAAGGCCAUUCAAGGCCGAAACAUAAAAACAAAAAAAAAUCUCUCGCAAGAGAUCUAACCCAAGUCACCCUCAGAACUUACGCCCCCUCUUCACCCGCUGCCUCGUCCGAGCCUGGAGCCGCGUCG
rnacentral:lncRNA from 1 species